GAUGAACGCUGGCGGCGUGCCUAAUACAUGCAAGUCGAGCGAACGGACGAGAAGCUUGCUUCUCUGAUGUUAUCGGCGGACGGGUGAGUAACACGUGGAUAACCUACCUAUAAGACUGGGAUAACUUCGGGAAACCGGAGCUAAUCCCGGAUAAUAUUUUGAACCGCAUGGUUCAAAAGUAAAAGACGGUCUUGCUGUCACUUAUAGAUGGUUCCGCGCUGCAUUAGCUAGUUGGUAAGGUAACGGCUUACCAAGGCAACGAUGCAUAGCCGACCUGAGAGGGUGAUCGGCCACACUGGAACGGAGACACGGUCCAGACUCCUACGGGAGGCAGAAGUAGGGAAUCUUCCGAAAUGGGCGAAAGCCGGACGGAGCAACGCCGCGUGAGUGAUGAAGGUCUUCGGAUCGUAAAACUCUGUUAAUAGGGAAGAACAUAUGUGUAAGUAACUGUGCACAUCUUGACGGUACCUAAUCAGAAAGCCACGGCUAACUACGUG
rnacentral:rRNA from 1 species